GUGCCAGCAGCCGCGGUAAUACGGAGGGUGCGAGCGUUAAUCGGAAUUACUGGGCGUAAAGCGCAUGCAGGUGGUUUGUUAAGUCGGAUGUGAAAGACCCGGGGCUCAACCUCGGAAUAGCAUUUGUAAACUGGCAGACUAGAGUACUGUAGAGGGGGGUAGGAAUUUCAGGUGUAGCGGUGAAAUGCGUAGAGAUCUGAAGGAAUACCAGUGGCGAAGGCGGCCCCCUGGACAAAGACUGACGCUCAGAUGCGAAAGCGUGGGGAGCAAACAGGAUUAGAUACCCUGGUAG
rnacentral:rRNA from 1 species